rnacentral:rRNA from 1 species
AGUGAACGCUGGCGGUAGGCCUAACACAUGCAAGUCGAACGGCAGCACAGUAAGAGCUUGCUCUUACGGGUGGCGAGUGGCGGACGGGUGAGGAAUACAUCGGAAUCUACUUUUUCGUGGGGGAUAACGUAGGGAAACUUACGCUAAUACCGCAUACGACCUACGGGUGAAAGCAGGGGAUCUUCGGACCUUGCGCGAUUGAAUGAGCCGAUGUCGGAUUAGCUAGUUGGCGGGGUAAAGGCCCACCAAGGCGACGAUCCGUAGCUGGUCUGAGAGGAUGAUCAGGCAAACUGGAACUGAGACACGGUCCAGACUCCUACGGGAGGCAGCAGUGGGGAAUAUUGGACAAUGGGCGCAAGCCUGAUCCAGCCAUACCGCGUGGGUGAAGAAGGCCUUCGGGUUGUAAAGCCAUUUUGUUGGGAAAGAAAAGAAGCAGGUUAAUACCCCGCUGUUAUGACGGUACCCAAAGAAUAAGCACCGGCUAACUUCGUG